rnacentral:lncRNA from 1 species
AAUAACCAAAAACAGCAAAAUUUUCUCAAAAUUACCAAUUCAGGGGCAGCAACCUAUCAACGGGUUGUCCGAUUCAUCUGAAAAUUUCAGGGCAGAUAGAUCUUGACCUGAUAAACAAUUUUACCCCAUGUCAGAUUUGCUCUAAAUGCUUUGGUUUUUGAGUUAUAAGCCAAAAACUGCAUUUUACCCCUAUGUUCUAUUUUUAGCCAUGGCGGCCAUCUUGGUUGUUUGGGCGGGUCACCGGACACAAUUUUUAAACUAGAUACCCCAAUAAUGAUUGUGGCCAAGUUUGAUUUAAUUUGGUCCAGUAGUUUCAGAGGAGAAGAUUUUUGUAAAAGUUAACGACGGACGACGACGACGGACGACGGACGACGGACGACGGACGACGGACGACGGACGCCAAGUGAUGAGAAAAGCUCACUUGGCCCUUCGGGCCAGGUGAGCUAAUAAU